UCAAAAAAAGACUGUGUAAAAAGUUAGGGAAGGAGAGAGAGCCAAAGGAUCAGAAAGUCUGCUGACCAUGCUGUUCCAAAUGGCCAAAGAGGAUGUGGAAAGCAUUAUUUUGAAAAAGCUGCCGACUCAGCUCACAGGUGAUGGCCAGAUCGGAAGACCCACACCACGACCAAAGACCCACACCACGAUCAAAAGCCAUUUCUUCAUGAACGGCACUUCCAAUGGCCUCCUCCCAGAUGCAUCAGAAGAGCUGGAGGAGCAAAAGAAUGAAGAGGGAAGCCUGAAGAGCAACAAGGUAUAAGGGUGAUCCCCAAAGACCAGAAGCCACAGAUGCCCCUGAGCUGAAAGAAGCCCAGGAUCCUGAGCCUUCACUGCUGUUGCACUGUUGCUUCUGGAUCUACUGAAGAGCCGUGUGGCUGACAGGGUCUUGGUGCUCCGGCAGAAUGUCAGGCCUGUGCCUCUGAGGUGGGAGAGCCGAGUUCAGGACAUUGGUCCACCAGAGACCUCCCUGGUCCACAUAAUAUCAAAUUGCAAAAGCUCUCCAAGAGAUCUCCCUCUCAACGCUAAGACCCAGCUCCACUCAAUGAGCAGCAAGCUACAGUGCUGAACACCAGAAACCAAACAACUAGCAAGACAGGAACACAACCCCACCCAUUAGCAGAAAGGCUGCCUAAAAUCAUAAUAAGGUCACAGACACCCCAAAACACAUCACCAGAUGUGGUCCUGCCAACCAGAAAGACAAGAUCUAGCGUCAUCCACCAGAACACAGGAACCAGUCCCCUCCACCAGGAAGCCUACACAACCCACUGAACCAACCUUAGCCACUGGGGGUAGACACCAAAAACAACGGGAACUACGAACCUGCAGCCUGUGAAAAGGAGACCCCAAACACAGUAAGUAAAGCAAAAUGAGAAGACAGAGAAACACACAGCAGAUUAAGGAACAAGGUAAAAACCCACCAGACCAAACAAAUGAAGAGGAAAUAGGCAGUCUACCUGAAAAAGAACUCAGAGUAAUGAUAGUAAAGAUGAUCCAAAAUCUUGGAAAUAGAAUGGAGAAAAUACAAGAAACUUUUAACAAGGAACUAGAAGAACUAAAGAGGAAACAAACAAUGAUGAACAACACAACAAAUGAAAUUAAAAAUUCUCUAGAAGGAAUCCAUAGCAGAAUAACUGAGGCAGAAGAACGGUAAGUGACCUGGAGAUAAAAUAGUGGAAAUAACUACUGCAGAGCAGAAUAAAGAAAAAAGAAUGAAAAGAAUUGAGGACAGUCUCAGACACAUCUGGGACAACACUAAAUGCACCAACAUUCGAAUUAUAGGGGUCCCAGAAGAAGAAGAGAAAACAAAAGGGACUGAGAAAAUAUUUGAAGAGAUUGUAGUUGAAAACUUCCCUAAUAUGGGAAAGGAAAUAGUCAAACAAGUCCAGGAAAUGCAGAGAGUCCCAUACAGGAUAAAUCCAAGGAGAAACACGCCAAGACACAUAUUAAUCAAACUAUCAAAAAGUAAAUACAAAGAAAAAAUAUUAAAAGCAGCAAGGGAAAAACAACAAAUAACAUACAAGGGAAUCCCCAUAAGGUUAACAGCUGAUCUUUCAGCAGAAACUCUGCAAACCAGUAGGGAGUGGCAGGACAUAUUUACAGUGAUGAAAGGGAAAAAACUACAACCAAGAUUACUCUACCCAGCAAGGAUCUCAUUCAGAUUCGACAGAGAAAUUAAAACCUUUACAGACAAGCAAAAGCUAAAAGAAUUCAGCACCACCAAACCAGCUCUACAACAAAUGCUAAAGGAACUUCUCUAGGCAGGAAACACAAGAGAAGGAAAAGACCUACAAUAACAAACCCAAAACAAUUAAGAAAAUGGUAAUAGGAACAUACAUAUCGAUAAGUACCUUAAGUGUAAAUGGAUUAAAUGCUCCAACCAAAAGACACAGGCUUGCUGAAUGGAUACAAAAACAAGACCGGUACAUAUGCUGUCUACAAGAGACCCACUUCAGACCUAAGGACACAUACAGACUGAAAGUGAGGGGACGGAAAAAGAUACUCCAUGCAAAUGGAAAUCAAAAGAAACCUGGAGUAGCAAUUCUCAUAUCAGACAAAAUAGACUUUAAAACAAAUAUUAUUACAAGAGACAAAGAAGGACACUACAUAAUGAUCAAGGGAUCAAUCCAAGAAGAAGAUAAAACAAUUGUAAAUAUUUAUGCACCCAACAUAGGAGCACCACAGUACAUAAGGCAAAUGCUAAGAGCCAUAAAAGGGGAAAUCGACAGUAACACAAUCAUAGUAGGGGACUUUAACACCCCAAUUUCACCAAAGGCCAGAUCAUCCAAAAUGAAAAUACGUAAGGAAACACUAGCUUUAAAUGAUACAUUAAACAACAUGGACUUAAUUGAUAUUUAUAGGACAUUCCAUUCAAAAACAGCAGAUACACUUUCUUCUCAAGUGCACAUGGAGCAUUCUCCAGGAUAGAUCAUAUCUUGGGUCACAAAUCAAGCCUUGGUAAAUUUAAGAAAAUUGAAAUCGUAUCAAGUAUCUUUUCUGACCACAACGCUAUGAGACUAGGUAUCAAUUACAGGAAAAAGUCUAUAAAAAAUACAAACACAUGGCGGCUAAACAAUACACUACUAAAUAACCAAGAGAUCACUGAAGAAAUCAAAGAGGAGAUCAAAAAAUACCUAGAAACAAAUGACAAUGAAAACACGAUGACCCAAAACUUAUGGGAUGCAGCAAAAGCAGUUCUAAGAGGGAAGUUUAUAGCAAUACAAUCCUACCUCAAGAAACAAGAAACAUCUCAAAUAAACAACCUAACCUUACACCUAAAACAAUCAGAGAAAGAAGAACAACAAGAAAAAAAACCCCAAAGUUAGCAGAAGGAAAGAUUUCCUAAAGAUCAGAUCAGAAAUAAAUGAAAAAGAAAUGAAGGAAACAAUAGCAAAGAUCAAUAAAACUAAAAGCUGGUUCUUUGAGAAGAUAAACAAGAUUGAUAAACCAUUAGUCAGACUCAUCAAGAAA